rnacentral:lncRNA from 1 species
UUCCCACAGAAUUAUGCUAGAAAAAGCAAAGUAAUAUGGCUUUUCUCUUCCUUUUACUUCAACAUUCCACCAUCUUAGGAUUGUUCCCCUUAGAAUCAGAUUGUGAAUAUGAAUACCUGUAAAAGAAGAAAAAUAGGACCAAGUCCUGUUAGAUUGAAAAAAAUUACUGAAGACAUGAGCUAUUGUCUCCACUUUCGGGGCAUUAGAACACCAGCACUUAGAUGGCCCCUGUAUCCCCCAUCUCAUAACAGUAUCAUCCACAGGAAUUCUUCUUCUCCACAGCCUCCAAAUGAAGAAACUAAUCUCAAAAGGUACAC